CCACGGGAGGCAGCAGUGAGGAAUAUUGGUCAAUGGGCGCGCGCCUGAACCAGCCAAGUAGCGUGAAGGAUGACUGCCCUACGGGUUGUAAACUUCUUUUAUAAAGGAAUAAAGUUAGGCACGUGUGCCUUUUUGUAUGUACCAUAUGAAUAAGUAUCGGCUAACUCCGUGCCAGCAGCCGCGGUAAUACGGAGGAUCCGGCCGUUAUACGGAUUUAUUGGGUUUAAAGGGAGCGUAGGUGGAUUGUUAAGUCAGUUGUGAAAGUUUGCGGCUCAACCGUAAAAUUGCAGUUGAAACUGGCAGUCUUGAGUACAGUAGAGGUGGGCGGAAUUCGUGGUGUAGCGGUGAAAUGCUUAGAUAUCACGAAGAACUCCGAUUGCGAAGGCAGCUCACUGGACUGCAACUGACACUGAUGCUCGAAAGUGUGGGUAUCAAACAGGAUUAGAUACCCUAGUAGUC
rnacentral:rRNA from 1 species